rnacentral:rRNA from 1 species
GACGAACGCUGGCGGCGUGGAUUAGGCAUGCAAGUCGAACGGUAGGAUACCUUCGGGUAUCUGAGAGUGGCGAACGGGUGAGUAACACGUAGGUGAUCUACCCUCAAGAUUGGGACAACCCAGGGAAACUUGGGCUAAUACCGGAUGAAAGCAGCAGUGAUGUUGUUUGAAAGGUGGCGUAAGCUGCCGUUUGGGGAUGAGCCUGCGCUCUAUUAGUUAGUUGGCGGGGUAAAGGCCCACCAAGGCGAUGAUAGAUAGGCGGCCUUAACGGGUGGUCGCCCACACUGGGAUUGAGAUACGGCCCAGACUCCUACGGGAGGCAGCAGUCGAGAAUAGUCUACAAUGGCCGAAAGGCUGAUAGUGCGACGCCGCGUGAACGAAGAAGCCCUUCGGGUGUAAGUCUUUAUAUGUGAGCAGUGCUUCUAUGUGAACAGCAUGGGGAGAGAGAUAUUAGCAUAUGAAUAAGCAACGGCUAACUCCGUGCCAGC